rnacentral:sRNA from 1 species
ACGGGCAGUGGGAUUUGUCAAACUAUCACCUCUUAGACCUUGGACGGCCUCAUCAUUCCAUCCGUUGCAUGACUGUGGUACAUGACAAAGUCUGGUGUGGCUAUAGGAACAAAAUCUAUGUGGUGCAACCAAAGGCCAUGAAAAUAGAGAAAUCUUUUGAUGCACAUCCCAGGAAGGAGAGCCAAGUGCGACAGCUUGCGUGGGUGGGGGAUGGCGUGUGGGUCUCCAUUCGCUUGGAUUCUACGCUCCGUCUCUAUCAUGCACACACUUAUCAACAUCUACAGGAUGUGGACAUUGAGCCUUAUGUAAGCAAAAUGUUAGGUACUGGAAAACUGGGCUUCUCUUUUGUGAGAAUCACAGCUCUUAUGGUGUCUUGUAAUCGUUUGUGGGUGGGGACAGGAAAUGGUGUCAUUAUCUCCAUCCCAUUGACAGAAAGUAAGUAUAUUUUUAGACAACUGCCAUGGGACAAAUAGGAGAAUUAUAGGAAAUAGUUAUGUCUGAAAUUCAAAUCUGUGUUAGCUCAGAAAAUCAGUGAUGGCAAAGAUCUAGCUAUUGUUACUUCACUCAAUGCAACUUAUAAAUUCUAGGAAAAUAAGUUUUCAUGUAUCAAGACCAAUACUCAUAAUUAAAAGUUUUUCAUUGUGAAAACAUUUUCACAGUUCAGGAAUCACAGUCCUAUUUCAUCUUUGAAAUAAAAGUUAAAGUCCAUUUUUCUUAAGCCUUAUUAUACCAUUAUCCAAAAACACUACCUAGCAUUCAUCCUAGUUUUUCAUAUCUCCUUAGCAGAUAGUUUAGUAUAUUCCAUUUGUCUUAUUCGUGGUUUAAAAAAAGUUUGGAAGAAGUUUCUCAGGAGUUCAGCAAGCCUUUCCAUCUAUCUUCUAUUUUAAAAGAAUGUGAUUUAUUGUUUUUAUGAAUAAAAUAUACCUUGUGUGUUUCUCAUA